CGACGAGUGGCGGACGGGUGAGUAAUACUUAGGAAUCUGCCCAGCAUGGGGGACAACUCGGGGAAACUCGAGCUAAUACCGCAUACGCCCUAAGGGGGAAAGCGGGGGGAUCUUCGGACCUCGCGCUAUUGGAUGAGCCUAAGUCGGAUUAGCUUGUAGGUAGGGUAACGGCCUACCUAGGCGACGAUCCGUAGCUGGUCUGAGAGGACGAUCAGCCACACUGGGACUGAGAUACGGCCCAG
rnacentral:rRNA from 1 species